rnacentral:rRNA from 1 species
UACGUGGGGUGCGAGCGUUGUUCGGGAUUACUGGGCGUAAAGCGCGUGUAGGCGGCCUAUUAUGUCAGGUGUGAAAGCCCUCGGCCUAACCGAGGAAGUGCGCCUGAAACUGCUAGGCUUGAGUACGAGAGAGGGGGACGGAAUUCCCAGUGUAGAGGUGAAAUUCGUAGAUAUUGGGAGGAACACCGGCGGCGAAAUCGUUUCUCUGGAUCGAUACUGACGCUAAGACGCGAAAGCGUGUGGAGCAAACAGG